AGAGACACAGCCAGGGCUCGCUGCUCUGGGGGAUCCGGCCCAACCCCUGCAGAGCAGAGCAGCAAGGGCAUGGCGAGCCUCAGUCAGACCAUCUUCCCAAAGGCAGGGGCUCUGUGGAGGGAGGCUGGGCUCUAGGGCCAUUCCAUCAGCAACUUGUAUAUGAAUGCUAGAAUCAAACAGCCCCUUUGAUCAUGAAUAAUUUUAACAUUCACUGUACUGUCCUGAAAUGAAACUUUUGGAUAAUAUAAUGUGCCUAUAAGUGAUAGAUAGAUGAUGUUACAGAUGGAUAGAUAGAUGAUAGAGAAAUAAAGAUAAUAUAGAUAGAUUAGAUAGAUGAUAGAUAGAUGGUAUAACAGAUAGACGAUAGAUAAAUAGAUAGAUCAUAUAUGUAAUGCUUUAAUGGUAAUACAAAAACUUCACAGAUGGAGAAACUGAGGCUGGCAGCAGCAGUGACAUUGUUGGUGUCCGGAUAGCACCCCCAAGGCUGGCGUACACGCCCCCGAGCGCUCGGCCCCUG
rnacentral:lncRNA from 1 species